AAGCGGCAACAGCUCAAAUUUGAAAUCUGGCUCUUUUAGAGUCCGAGUUGUAAUUUGCAGAGGGCGCUUUGGCUUUGGCAGCGGUCCAAGUUCCUUGGAACAGGACGUCACAGAGGGUGAGAAUCCCGUACGUGGUCGCUGGCUAUUGCCGUGUAAAGCCCCUUCGACGAGUCGAGUUGUUUGGGAAUGCAGCUCUAAAUGGGAGGUACAUUUCUUCUAAAGCUAAAUAUUGGCCAGAGACCGAUAGCGCACAAGUAGAGUGAUCGAAAGAUGAAAAGCACUUUGGAAAGAGAGUCAAACAGCACGUGAAAUUGUUGAAAGGGAAGCGCUUGCAGCCAGACUUGCUUACAGUUGCUCAUCCGGGUUUCUACCCGGUGCACUCUUCUGUAGGCAGGCCAGCAUCAGUUUGGGCGGUAGGAUAAAGGUCUCUGUCACGUACCUCCUUUCGGGGAGGCCUUAUAGGGGAGACGACAUACUACCAGCCUGGACUGAGGUCCG
rnacentral:rRNA from 1 species